CGCGGUAAUUCCAGCUCCAAUAGCGUAUAUUAAAGUUGUUGCCGUUAAAAAGCUCGUAGUUGAACCUUGGACCUGGCUGAUCUGUCCUCCUAAUCGAGCGUACGGAUUCGGUCGGGUCUUUCCUUCUGGGGAGCCCUAUGUCCUUUACUGGUCGUAGCGGGGAACCAGGACUUUUACCUUGAAAAAAUUAAAGUGUUCAAAGCAGGCCUUUGCUCGAAUACAUUAGCAUGGAAUAAUAGAAUAGGACAUCGGUUCUAUUUUGUUGGUUUCUAGGACCGCCGUAAUGAUUAAUAGGGAUGGUCGGGGGCGUCAGUAUUCGGCUGUCAGAGGUGAAAUUUUUGGAUUUGCCGAAGACUAACUACUGCGAAAGCAUUCGC
rnacentral:rRNA from 1 species